rnacentral:rRNA from 1 species
AUGGCCAUCCUAAAAGCUUUGAUCCUUGGCAUCGUCGGAUGCGUCUGCUUCUGCAGUUCGGUCCUAGCAGCUCGUGAGCUCAGCGAUGACUUAUCGAUGGUGGCAAGGCACGAGAGCUGGAUGGUGCAGUACGGUCGUGUGUACAAGGACGAUGCUGAGAAGUUUGCCGACCUAACGAACAAGGAGUUCAAGGCGAGGAAGGCUAACAAGGGGUACAAACCGAGCAUGGAAAGGAUGCCUACCAGAUUCAGGUAUGAGAAUGUAAGUUUCGACGCACUUCCGGCAACCGUAGACUGGAGAACGAAAGGAGCAAUCACCCCCAUCAAGGAUCAGGGCCAAUGUGGUUGUUGUUGGGCUUUUUCUGCUGUCGCUGCUACAGAGGGCGUCGUUAAGCUGAAAACAGGCAAGCUUAUCUCGUUGUCUGAGCAAGAACUAGUGGAUUGUGAUGUCCAUGGUGAAGAUCAAGGUUGCGAAGAUGACAAGUGCAAGAGUGGAACCAACGGUGCCGCAACCAUCAAAAGCUAUGAGGAUGUUCCAGCCAACAACGAGGGAGCUCUCAUGCAAGCCGUCGCAAGCCAACCCGUCUCGGUGGCUGUAGAUGGAGGAGAUAUGACCUUCCAAUUUUACAAAGGUGGAGUGAUGACAGGCUCAUGUGGCACGGACCUGGACCAUGGUAUUGCAGCUAUUGGUUAUGGCAAGACCAGCGAUGGCACAAAGUAUUGGUUGCUGAAGAAUUCAUGGGGAACAACAUGGGGCGAGAACGGAUAUUUAAGAAUGGAGAAGGACAUUCCUGACAAGAAAGGCAUGUGUGGCCUUGCGAUGGAGCCUUCUUACCCCACUGCAUAG